AGAUCGGUUCGUACACACUGAUUCAGAGGAGGAUCAGCAGCGAUGAAUUACUCAACAAAGUUGUGAAGAGGCCAAUUAUCUGAAAAUACAACUCUUGACAUUAUCAGGAGCUGUUUUGCCUACUUUGCUUUGAGUCCAACCUACAGCCCGUCAGGACAUGGGAAACAAAGCUGCAGUAACUAGUGAGGACAAAAUUGUUGUAAAGACUGUAGACGGACAUGAAAUUUAUAACAAAUCAAGUAAGUACAAUAUAUCAGGGCCCUCUUGUCAGGUUACACAAAACAUGAAAGUGAGAGGUCUUCAGCAGAAUGAACAGAUGCGGUUUGCAAUUAAUGAAGUGAUGGAACACCACAGCAACCAAGAAAGACAACUGCAAUACUACGAUUCACCUCGAAGAAUGUUGAAACCAAACUACUAAAUACUGUUCAUCCAGAAAAACGGCUAAAUGUCUGAUCACAUAUAAUGGGUGGACAAAUGACAAAGUCUAAUCGUGAUUUAUUUGUUACAAGUGAAGAAACAACGACUGUAACAUCACUAGAUGGUUCUAAGUUUAUUGCACAUCAAUCACAAGUCACAGAGAACGGGAAGGUGAAGCAGCUUAAACGUGGACUUGACAUGUACAGCUCGCCCACACAUGGUCAGGGUCAGCAGCUGAUGUUCUCUCGUCAUGAUGAGUACGACUCCACAAAGGCAAAAGAGGGACAAAUAGAAGCUGCUACAAAAAAGAACAAAAAUAGUGAAGUGAAAGACAAAGGAAGGGGGGAAAAGCAAACGAACAAAGUGCCAUCUUUCCAUACAAGCACGGUAAAGGAUACUUAAUUGUUACCUGGUGUAUUUUAUGGACCAUUAACUUGGAGAACAUAAUUUACAGUUACAAAAGUCUGGCAGCUGUUCAUUUUUUAGAGUCUAUUAUUUUUAAAGAAAGGUAGCCGUUAUUAACAAACAUACUAAUGAAGUUUAAAACAUCUGCUGAAAUUUAAGCCAACCUUGUUAACUCUUUGGGUCAUAAAGUGACCAAAAAUAUUCCCCAUAAUGAUAGGGUUGAAUUAUUACUUUCUAUUUCCACUAAGCUAGCUGGAGUUUAAUCUGCUGUCAUGGAAAACAGACAGGUAAAACUGUUAUGUCACAUGCGCGUUCGUAGUGUCAAAGGAACGGUAAUCGGCAAAGAAGAAUGGGAGCUCACAGAAGAAGUGGAUUACGUGAAAGAGGUUUGCUACGACCGAUUACGAAAGUCUUUUGAUAAUGCUGUUAGAGACUGCAGGUCUGUUAUGGAUAUGCCCAAUGAAGUUCGGGAUGUGAUCUGGUAUGUUGAUGACACAUUUGACGAAUACGAUACGCAGAUCGUAAUCAUAGAAAUUUUAGUUUAUGAUCGGAUAAACACCAUUGCUGAAGUCGUGACAAAGCACCUGAAGUUAAAUAAACUUGACUCUCGUGCUGCCCGCAACUUGAUGAGACAGGAACUGAGAAUCGUUGAAGAAUGUUGUGAAAACUUAAUGCGUGUUUACUCUACAACAAGGAUGCUGACAUGGAACUGAGUGCUGGUCCUCUUGAACUGUUUACACAUCUUGUUCUCUGUUGGGAAAGAAAACUGUCUUUCGGCUAUGUGCUUCCACUUGCACGAGACACGUGCAUUGCUGCAUACCUUUCUUCUGUAGGGACGAUCAGCACAUAUAGAGAGAGGACAAUGUGGACAAACUUUUAUGAUUCACGUUUCUAAGCGUUCGUCCCUCGAAAAGAAUUAUUUGAACAAGACGAUUUUUGCAGCAGAAAGUAGAAUGCAAAACUUAUGUCGGUUUAUUAACAUACUGACAAUAUGGAAAAUGAAAUAACUUUACUGACAGGGAAAAUGUGAUCAAACUAUAACCGAGUUUUGAAAAGUUGUUUGUCAAGGUCCCACGAACCGAGUAGUUUGGAAGGUGGUGGUAAACGUUGAGACACUGGAGCUAGGGUAAACACAGCAAUUCUAAAUGUGUUUGAGAAGACCUUGCUAAUAUAUUUACCAAUACAACAAGUUUUGGAGGCUUAGCCUUUUCGGAACUUUGCCCAGUUAAGAAAGUCACACACUCCUGUUAAGGAGGAGUUUGUGUUCUCCAUGAUUGCUGAGAUAGACUAUUUAAGUGUAUCCUCUACUUUUUCCAGUACUUCUGUAGACAAGACUUUCUAACAAGCAACUAUGUUGUGACUUCAAAACCUACUGAUGUAAUAAUGGAGGCACCUAGAUGAGUAUGUCUUAAAAAGGCGGGACAUCUUCUGUCUGCUUUUCUAAAUUGAUCGAAAGAAAUAUCUUUUAUAUUCAUCACCUAUUCUACCAAGAACCCUUUUAUUGGAACGAGAUGAUAUACUUGUCAAACUUAAUGAUGUUUUAAAUACGUUGAUUUGUUCAUUUUGUAUGGUGGUUAUUCGGGUUGUAAAGUUUAUUGUAUUAUUAUUUUUUUAACUUCGUGCAUGGUAAACCAAUUUAUAUCUAAAUUUCUGAAUAUUUUAUCUUCAGCUUUAUCAAACGGAAGGUUAAAAUUAAAGAAGAAUAACAAAAUAAAUAUCCUGAUAACAUUGAUGAACAUUUUUGAAGCGAUUGUCAGAUUUUAUUUGGAAAUAAAUAAUAACGUUACUGAAAAAUAAUACUUGUCAUAGAAGGUCAGCCGAUGAUUAGAAGAUUUGUGAUAUAAGCACUAUGAGAUGUAUAGCUGCGAGGUCAAGUGUCAGCACUUCUUAUAUUUUCAUUAACAAAUUUUAAAUGUAAUUUUUGAGCACAUAAUCCCUUCCAUAAAAGCUAUGAAAUUCGCAAUAAAAAUAAGAUUCUUCCACUAAAUUAUGUUCCUAAAAUUAACAAGAUUUUAAUAAUCAGUACAAGAUCGUAGACAAUAUGUAAGAAAAUUUUGUUUUAUUUUUCAUCUUUGGUGCUUAAUUUCUCUGCAUGGCUGUCCGACUAAUAAUCAUAAGCUCCUUAGCUGCUUUUCAGAAUUCAUAGUAACCAGUUGUGUCUUUAGUGUCUUUCUUAAGAAUAGGUAAUCAUCUUGGUUCAUUUUCUCCUCUCUUUUUAUUUGUUGUUACACAUUCUUAUAUUUCACUUAUUUACUUUGUUUUCAUAUUUAGGCUCAAUGCUUUGAAUGAUUAAAAUGCUGAAAAAAAUUAUGCCAAAUCCCUUUUCAAAUAAUCCAGAAGAGAUCAACUAGCGUUUCACGUUGACGCUUUUCUGAUGUCAUUUGUCACCUGCCACGUGUUUACAAAGCUGUACGCCCGUUAGCGAUCAUUAUUAACGGAACCAAGAGAUAAAACACAGAUUCGUGCAUGUUCCAGCUUAUAAAUUAUCACCUUACAUAUGCACUUAAAAAUUCAUGAAUCACACCUACCCCUUCCCCCGACCACACACACAGACACAAACACACGCGUGCGCGCGGGCUUUCUCUCUCUCACACACACAUGGCAAUUUAAGAUUGAUUGAAUCAUGUAGUGGUCUAGUUGACGUUUUUUUAUAUUUAGUAGAAGUGGUUUUUCUUCAUAUUAAACAGUCUGUUAACAUA